rnacentral:rRNA from 1 species
GACGAACGCCGGCGGCGUGCUUAACACAUGCAAGUCGAACGGAAAGGCCCUGCUUUUGUGGGGUGCUCGAGUGGCGAACGGGUGAGUAACACGUGAGUAACCUGCCCUUGACUUUGGGAUAACUUCAGGAAACUGGGGCUAAUACCGGAUAGGAGCUCCUGCUGCAUGGUGGGGGUUGGAAAGUUUCGGCGGUUGGGGAUGGACUCGCGGCUUAUCAGCUUGUUGGUGGGGUAGUGGCUUACCAGGGCUUUGACGGGUAGCCGGCCUGAGAGGGUGACCGGCCACAUUGGGACUGAGAUACGGCCCAGACUCCUACGGGAGGCAGCAGUGGGGAAUAUUGCACAAUGGGCGGAAGCCUGAUGCAGCAACGCCGCGUGCGGGAUGACGGCCUUCGGGUUGUAAACCGCUUUCGCCUGUGACGAAGCGUGAGUGACGGUAAUGGGUAAAGAAGCACCGGCUAACUACGUGCCAGCAGCCGCGGUGAUACGUAGGGUGCGAGCGUUGUCCGGAUUUAUUGGGCGUAAAGGGCUCGUAGGUGGUUGAUCGCGUCGGAAGUGUAAUCUUGGGGCUUAACCCUGAGCGUGCUUUCGAUACGGGUUGACUUGAGGAAGGUAGGGGAGAAUGGAAUUCCUGGUGGAGCGGUGGAAUGCGCAGAUAUCAGGAGGAACACCAGUGGCGAAGGCGGUUCUCUGGGCCUUCCCUGACGCUGAGGAGCGAAAGCGUGGGGAGCGAACAGGCUUAGGUACCCUGGUAGUCCACGCUGUAAACGGUGGGUACUAGGUGUGGGGUCCAUUCCACGGGUUCCGUGCCGUAGCUAACGCUUUAAGUACCCCGCCUGGGGAGUACGGCCGCAAGGCUAAAACUCAAAGGAAUUGACGGGGCCCCGCACAAGCGGCGGAGCAUGCGGAUUAAUUCGAUGCAACGCGUAGAACCUUACCUGGGUUUGACAUGGAUCGGGAGCGCUCAGAGAUGGGUGUGCCUCUUUUGGGGUCGGUUCACAGGUGGUGCAUGGCUGUCGUCAGCUCGUGUCGUGAGAUGUUGGGUUAAGUCCCGCAACGAGCGCAACCCUUGUUCACUGUUGCCAGCACGUUAUGGUGGGGACUCAGUGGAGACCGCCGGGGUCAACUCGGAGGAAGGUGGGGAUGACGUCAAGUCAUCAUGCCCCUUAUGUCCAGGGCUUCACGCAUGCUACAAUGGCUGGUACAGAGAGUGGCGAGCCUGUGAGGGUGAGCGAAUCUCGGAAAGCCGGUCUCAGUUCGGAUUGGGGUCUGCAACUCGACCUCAUGAAGUCGGAGUCGCUAGUAAUCGCAGAUCAGCAACGCUGCGGUGAAUACGUUCCCGGG